AAUUUGUUGUGGCCUCAUGAAACCUGGUCUAUUUCUUUCCUUAUUUUUUUUUUAAAGAGGCUUGAGACUGUAAUUCGGUUAACUAUUUCCCAGAGCCCCGGUUUUGUGGCUACAGCACAGCACGAGGCAGAGGAACGGAGACAGGUCCUCGGAAGCCUCUUUCCAGAAAAUCUAAUUUCAUCAUUGAGAAAUCUUCUGUCUUAAACAGCCUCCACCACCGCCAUAAAUUUACAUAUUCUAUAUGCCGCCGGAACGGAGUGGGCCCUAUUUGCAUAAUGCUGCUGGAGGGGCUCACGCUCCUCUUGAACCUGAAUGUAGCAGGAGCGAGGAAGCAAUUAUUAAGCUGUAGACGUUGGCAGGGAGAGAGCCCUCAGAUGGAUUUCGACUCCAAACCUCAUUCGCCAGGGCUGCUCAUUACCGAAGGCCUGGAUCCCAGGCUGAAGGUGGAUCCCAGGGCUGGGAAAAAUCAGUGUGAAUUGCUUUCUCCAGGUUAUGUCUGCAGCCAGGCCGAGGCCAGAUAUGGGGGGUCUUUGAGCAUCCUGGAUGAUUCAUUGCCUUGCUCAGCAAUUUAUUCAACAAUCACAGGACACUGGACACAGAGAUGAACAAAACAAAUGGACUUCCUGCCCUCACAAGGAUUACGGCUCUAGAGCAGGAAGACAAACCUUCAUCAAACAACAUCCCUUCCACUCCCAAGGCUCCCCACUCCAUCCUCAUGAUAAGCCAAAGUUGAGUACUCUGGACACCAGAAUAAUAAGUGGGAAAGAGAGGGACGGGUCUGAUGAGUUACCAUGAAAUGAGCACCGGACUGUGGGUCAAGAGGCCAACCCCAGCUUUGCUGCUGACAUUCUGUGUUGUCUUGAACAAGUCACACCCUCUCUUAAGGUCUCCAUUUCUUCAUCCAUAAGUGAAAUAAAUCUAUAAAAAUAUCCACCUGUCUUGUAUCAUGGACUUUAAUGAGAUAAUGUCUAGAAAAAAGAGUUCUAUGGCACAAAUAAAAUAAGUGAAUAGUAACU
rnacentral:lncRNA from 10 species